rnacentral:lncRNA from 1 species
GUGGCGACGCGUAGAUGUACGCUGGGGGAGGAGGUGACUUCACUGGUGGUGGCGGCGAUGUGUAGUGGUAGGGAGGAGGAGGGGACGGUGAAGGGGGAGGUGGGGACUUGUAGAGAUAAGGAGGAGGUGGAGACGGUGACGGUGGUGGUGGAGAUAUGUAGUGGUAUGGCCGUGGUGGAGAUUUCCCCGGUGGUGGAGGGGAUGUGUAGCGGUAGGGGGGAGGCCCCGCUGGUCAUGGUGGUGGCCGCGAUGCGUAGUGGUAUGGCGGUGGUGGAGACUUCACUGGUGGUGGAGCCGAGGUGUAGUGGUAGGGCGGAGGAGGAGAUGGUGAUGGGGGAGGUGGUGACUUGUAGCCAUAGGGAGGAGGUGGAGAUGGUGAUGGUGGUGGUGGUGAAAUGUAAUGGUAU